rnacentral:lncRNA from 1 species
UUGAACUAAAAGAAAAAAAAAAUUCGGGUGCUUCAUGAUAGGUCGGCCGCAUGUUAAGUUUAUCAAAACCCGUUCUCUUAAUUAAAGGGUGAGACUCUAUAAAGAAAUUAUCGUUAACCGUUAUAAUUCAAUAAAUCUUCUUUACAUUUGCGAUCACAGAAUUCUCGACUAAUUAGCCGAUCAAUAUCCCUUACCAACGAGUCGGCCACAUCAUUAUUGAAUUAUCAGAAAAUAUUAUAUUUAUCAUGAAUUAUCAAAAAAU